rnacentral:rRNA from 1 species
UACAUGUGGGGCAAGCGUUGUUCGGAAUUACUGGGCAUAAAGGGUGCUCAGGUGGUUUUGUAAGUCAGAGGUGAAAUUUCGGGGCUCAACCCCGGACCUGCCUUUGAUACUGCAAAGCUUGUGUACGGAAGAGGCUGAUGGAAUUUCUGGUGUAGCAGUGAAAUGCGUAGAUAUCAGAAAGAACACCAGUGGCGAAGGCGGUCAGCUGGUCCGGUACAGACACUAAAGCACGAAAGCAUGGGUAGCAAACAGG